CUGCAGCCCGAGUGGUGAUCGAUUUUAUUGAGCCUAAAGCGUCCGUAGCCGGACUAGUAAACCCUUGGGUAAAUUGGGCAGCUUAACUGUCCAAAUUCCGAGGGGACUGCUAGUCUUGGGACCGGGAAAGGUCAGAGGUACUCAAGGGGUAGGGGCUAAAUCCUGUAAUCCUUUGGGGACCACCAGUGGCGAAGGCGUCUGACUAGAACGGAUCCGACGGUAAGGGACGAAACCCUGGGGCGCGAACCGGAUUAGAUACCCGAGUAGUCC
rnacentral:rRNA from 1 species